AAGUGGUGAUGCCAAGAAGCGUGUCAGGAUGCGGGACUUGGAGGAGCUUUAUGUAGGGUUUUGCUAUGGAAACCUCAACCUGACUUAUGUACGUUCGUGUGCAGACAUAAAAAUAGCAAAAU
ncrna:unclassified sequences drum RNA